rnacentral:rRNA from 1 species
CCUACGGGAGGCAGCAGUGAGGAAUAUUGGUCAAUGGACGAGAGGCUGAACCAGCCAAGUCGCGUGAAGGAUGAAUGCCCUAUGGGUUGUAAACUUCUUUUAUAUGGGAAUAAAAUGUUCCACGUGUGGCAGUUUGUAUGUACCUUAUGAAUAAGGAUCGGCUAACUCCGUGCCAGCAGCCGCGGUAAUACGGAGGAUCCGAGCGUUAUCCGGAUUUAUUGGGUUUAAAGGGAGCGUAGGUGGAUUGUUAAGUCAGUUGUUAAAGUUUGCGGCUCAACCGUCAAAUUGCGGUUGAAACUGGCAGUCUUGAGUACAGUAGAGGUAGGCGGAAUUCGUGGUGUAGCGGUGAAAUGCUUAGAUAUCACGAAGAACUCCGAUUGCGAAGGCAGUUCACUGGACUGCAACUGACACUGAGGCUCGAAAGUGUGGGUAUCAAACAGGAUUAGAUACCCUUGUAGUC